GACGAACGCUGGCGGCGUGCUUAACACAUGCAAGUCGAACGGAAAGGCCCUGCUUUUGUGGGGUGCUCGAGUGGCGAACGGGUGAGUAACACGUGAGUAACCUGCCCUUGACUUUGGGAUAACUUCAGGAAACUGGGGCUAAUACCGGAUAGGAGCUCCUGCUGCAUGGUGGGGGUUGGAAAGUUUCGGCGGUUGGGGAUGGACUCGCGGCUUAUCAGCUUGUUGGUGGGGUAGUGGCUUACCAAGGCUUUGACGGGUAGCCGGCCUGAGAGGGUGACCGGCCACAUUGGAACUGAGAUGCGGCCCGGACUCCUACGGGAGGCAGCAGUGGGGAAUAGUGCACAAUGGGCGGAAGCCUGAUGCAGCAACGCCGCGUGGGGGAUGACGGCCUUCGGGUUGUAAACCGCUUUCGCCUGUGACGAAGCGUGAGUGACGGUAAUGGGUAAAGAAGCACCGGCUAACUACGUG
rnacentral:rRNA from 1 species